rnacentral:rRNA from 1 species
AACGAACGCUGGCGGCGUGCCUAACACAUGCAAGUCGAACGAGAAAGGGGCUUCGGCUCCGAGUAAAGUGGCGCACGGGUGAGUAACACGUGGGUAACCUGCCUCUAAGAUCGGGAUAACCUGUCGAAAGACGAGCUAAUACCAAAUGAGACCACAGCUUCUUCGGAAGCAGGGGUCAAAGGUAGCCUCUACUUGUAAGCUAUCACUUAGAGAUGGGCCCGCGUACCAUUAGCUAGUUGGUGGGGUAACGGCCCACCAAGGCAAAGAUGGUUAGCUGGUCUGAGAGGAUGAUCAGCCACACUGGAACUGAGACACGGUCCAGACUCCUACGGGAGGCUG